GUGGGGAAUAUUGCACAAUGGGCGAAAGCCUGAUGCAGCAACGCCGCGUGAGCGAUGAAGGCCUUUGGGUCGUAAAGCUCUGUCGGAAGGGAAGAAAAAAAUGACGGUACCUUCCGAGGAAGCCCCGGCUAACUACGUGCCAGCAGCCGCGGUAAUACGUAGGGGGCGAGCGUUAUCCGGAAUUAUUGGGCGUAAAGGGUGCGUAGGUGGUCUGAUAAGCGUGGGGUGAAAGGCAAUAGCUUAACUAUUGUAAGCCUUGCGAACUGUCAGACUUGAGUGCAGGAGAGGAAAGUGGAAUUCCUAGUGUAGCGGUGAAAUGCGUAGAUAUUAGGAGGAACACCAGUGGCGAAGGCGACUUUCUGGACUGUAACUGACACUGAGGCACGAAAGCGUGGGGAGCAAACAGGAUUAGAUACCCUUGUAGUCC
rnacentral:rRNA from 1 species